AACGAACGCUGGCGGCACGUUUUAAGCAUGCAAGUCGAACGGCAGUGGGGGCAACCCCAUGAGAGUGGCGAACGGGUGAGUAACACGUAGGUGAUCUGCCUUUGGGUUGGGGAUAGCUUGUGGAAACACAGGGUAAUACCGAAUGAGCAGACGAGGCGUUGGCCAUGCUAGUAAAGGUGCUACGGCACCGCCUAGAGAGGAGCCUGCGGCUGAUUAGCUAGUUGGUGGGGUAAAGGCCUACCAAGGCGACGAUCAGUAGCCGGCCUGAGAGGGUGUACGGCCACACUGGAACUGAGACACGGUCCAGACUCCUACGGGAGGCAGCAGCUAAGAAUCUUCCGCAAUGGGCGAAAGCCUGACGGAGCGAUGCCGCGUGAUCGAUGAAGGUCGAGAGAUUGUAAAGAUCUUUUCCAACUGAGGAAUAAGUGGACCAGGGAAUGGGUUCAUGAUGACGUUAAGUUGGGAAUAAGCCCCGGCUAAUUACGUGCCAGCCGCCGCGGUAA
rnacentral:rRNA from 1 species